UACGUAGGGUGCGAGCGUUUGUCCGGAAUUAUUGGGCGUAAAGGGCUCGUAGGCGGUUUGUCGCGUCGGGAGUGAAACUCAGGGCUUAAACCCUGAGCCUGCUUCCGAUACGGGCAGACUAGAGGUAUGCAGGGGAGAACGGAAUUCCUGGUGUAGCGGUGAAAUGCGCAGAUAAUCAGGAGGAACACCGGUGGCGAAGGCGGGUCUCUGGGCCGUAACUGACGCUGAGGAGCGAAAGCGUGGGGAGCGAACAGG
rnacentral:rRNA from 1 species